rnacentral:rRNA from 1 species
UACGAAGGGGGCUAGCGUUGCUCGGAAUCACUGGGCGUAAAGGGUGCGUAGGCGGGCAGGUAAGUCAGAUGUGAAAUCCCCGGGCUUAACCUGGGAACUGCAUUUGAAACUGGCAGGCUUGAGUCUUGUAGAGGGGGGUAGAAUUCCAGGUGUAGCGGUGAAAUGCGUAGAGAUGCGGAGGAACACCGAUGGCGAAGGCAGCCCCCUGGGCUGACACUGACGCUCAGGCACGAAAGCGUGGGGAGCAAACAGG